CGGUCACUAAUGACACCUAAAGUUUUCUUGAAGACAGAUGAUGACAUAAAAAUUAUGCGCAAUAGGAUUAUGCUCAGGCCC